UACGUAGGGAGCGAGCGUUGUCCGGAAUUACUGGGUGUAAAGGGAGCGUAGGCGGGGACGCAAGUUGGGUGUAAAAGAUACCGGCUCAACUGGUAUUCGCACUCAAAACUGCGACUCUUGAGUGAAGUAGAGGCAGGCGGAAUUCCUAGUGUAGCGGUGAAAUGCGUAGAUAUUAGGAGGAACACCAGUGGCGAAGGCGGCCUGCUGGGCUUUUACUGACGCUGAGGCUCGAAAGUGUGGGGAGCAAA
rnacentral:rRNA from 1 species